CGAUAGCGCACAAGUAGAGUGAUCGAAAGAUGAAAAGCACUUUGAAAAGAGAGUUAAAAAGUACGUGAAAUUGUUGAAAGGGAAGCGUUUAUGACCAGACUUGGGCUUGGUUAAUCAUCUGGGGUUCUCCCCAGUGCACUUUUCCAGUCCAGGCCAGCAUCAGUUUUCGCCGGGGGAUAAAGACUUCGGGAAUGUGGCUCUCUUCGGGGAGUGUUAUAGCCCGUUGUGUAAUACCCUGGCGGGGACUGAGGUUCGCGCAUCUGCAAGGAUGCUGGCGUAAUGGUCAUCAACGACCCGUCUUGAAACACGGACCAAGGAGUCGUCU
rnacentral:rRNA from 1 species